GUGAAAUGUAUUCACCUUACCAAACAUGGAAUUCUGUACAGAUUUUGGACAUAUACUAUGCCCCUCUGUGUAAUGAUCUCUGACUUGGGAAAAUCCUAGAUCCACCACUGGUAUCUACCUCUUCUUGUUUUAGCCUGUCUGUCACUGCUGCAACCUGUCUGCCUCCACUCCCAGUCCAGUUCCACACAGGAGUCAGAGUCCUGUAUGGGAUUCCUGCUCCCGUUUCUGAGGUAGCUGUGGACUAGUGUGUGCCAGCUCAGGACCUGUGCCUGUUCCCAUCUCCUCUGGAUCAACUACUCAGGUUCUGUGCUGGUAUCUGUGCUGACCGUCUGUGCACCUGCUCCAGACACCUCUGUGCCACCCGCCACCUCCUCAUCAGCAUCCUACACCCUCUAUUCUGCUCGAACGUCCUGGUUGACAUCCUGGUCUUUUGCCAUGUCUGAGCUCCAGACUGUACGAAGGGCUCUUUCUGUUCUGCUUGUUUUGGGAUGUCAAGGGCCAUGAUCUUCGUGAGGGUACAUUUAGAUUUCCAGCUGGCUCCACUUUCCCACUGAUUUCAGCAUGCCACUCCUAUUCCCAGCAACCACAGUUAUGCAAUCAUCAACACCGCUACAAGAUGAUGAACGCUGCCUUUUGCUGAGUGGGUGCAUAUUUAUGGACUCUGCUGUUCUGUUUCUGCUUUGUCAUGGACGUUUUCUCUCCUUUCUAUCAGCUCAUGUUCCUUCUGCGGGCAUACUGAAAUUGGUUCAUACUCUGCUCAUCUGUUUAGUCUUUGUUGGACUU